rnacentral:rRNA from 1 species
CAGCAGCCGCGGGAAUACGAAGGGUGCAAGCGUUAAUCGGAAUUACUGGGCGUAAAGCGUGCGUAGGCGGUGAGUUAAGUCUGCUGUGAAAUCCCCGGGCUCAACCUGGGAAUGGCAGUGGAUACUGGCUCGCUAGAGUGUGUCAGAGGAUGGUGGAAUUCCCGGUGUAGCGGUGAAAUGCGUAGAGAUCGGGAGGAACAUCAGUGGCGAAGGCGGCCAUCUGGGACAACACUGACGCUGAGGCACGAAAGCGUGGGGAGCAAACAGGAUUAGAUACCCUCGUAGUCCCUGUCUCUUAUAC